UACGGGGGGGGCAAGCGUUGUUCGGAAUUACUGGGCGUAAAGGGCUCGUAGGCGGCCAACUAAGUCAGACGUGAAAUCCCUCGGCUUAACCGGGGAACUGCGUCUGAUACUGGAUGGCUUGAGUUUGGGAGAGGGAUGCGGAAUUCCAGGUGUAGCGGUGAAAUGCGUAGAGAUCCGGAGGAACACCAGCGGCGAAGGCGGCGUCCUGGACUGGUACUGACGCUCAGGAGCGAAAGCGUGGGGAGCGAUCCGG
rnacentral:rRNA from 1 species